UAACUUGGUAAAUUACACUGUUCUUAAGUUGCCAGAAUAAAAAAUAUGUCCAUGUCUACACAACAGUGUAAAUAACAAAAGAAGGGGUUUCAUGAUAGUGUCAAUUAGUGGAUUUCAUGAGGAGCAUCAAUCUAAAUAUCACAAGAAACGAAAAUGAUGAUGAGGAAAACCCUAAGAGCAUCUCCAUGGCUACAGUUCAUUUUUAACUUUCUGCUUUGGACUUCUCUCUGGACUCUGGGUUGUAAAUCUGUACAAUAUGUCCUUUAAAAAAACUGAAUACAUAUUUAUUAAGUACUUGUUUACAGUAGAAAUAUUCUCGACUUUGGGACUAUAUGCUCAAAGAUGAGCCAAAUAUAUAAUUCUCUGUAUAACAAAGAAAAAAGUUUGAAAUUUCCAAAGAUGAACAUGGAGAAGUAAGAGUGCAGUCUGAUGCAGUUAUGGAGGUUAGGCUCAGAAUAUCUAUUCCAAUUUUCUUCUAGUGUACUUCCCUUUCCUGUGGCGAGCAGAAAGCUAAAACAAAAAUUUCUCCAGUUCCUUUUCAGCUGGUGAUUCAAGUUUGAUUCAGGUUUCACAUCAGAUGAGAUCACAGGAGACUUGAAAUCUGAACUGAGAAAAAUGGGAGAUUGGAUCAUUCACUCUGGGGGAAGCAGGCUGCCAUGUUGUGAGGGCAUUCAAGCUGCCCUAUGGAAAGGCCACAUGGUGAGGAAUUGAGGCCUCCUCCAACAGCCAUGAUACUGGAUUAUGGUAUGCCCUAAUCC